GACGAACGCUGGCGGCGUGCCUAAUACAUGCAAGUCGAACGCACUCUCGUUUAGAUUGAAGGAGCUUGCUCCUGAUUGAUAAACAUUUGAGUGAGUGGCGGACGGGUGAGUAACACGUGGGUAACCUGCCCUAAAGUGGGGGAUAACAUUUGGAAACAGAUGCUAAUACCGCAUAAAACCUAAACACCGCAUGGUGUAGGGUUGAAAGAUGGUUUCGGCUAUCACUUUAGGAUGGACCCGCGGUGCAUUAGUUAGUUGGUGAGGUAAAGGCUCACCAAGACCGUGAUGCAUAGCCGACCUGAGAGGGUAAUCGGCCACACUGGGACUGAGACACGGCCCAGACUCCUACGGGAGGCAGCAGUAGGGAAUCUUCCACAAUGGACGAAAGUCUGAUGGAGCAACGCCGCGUGAGUGAAGAAGGUUUCGGAUCGUAAACUCUGUUGUUGGUAGAAGAAUGUAUCUGAUAGUAACUGAUC
rnacentral:rRNA from 1 species